GAGUUUGAUCCUGGCUCAGGAUGAACGCUGGCGGCGUGCCUAACACAUGCAAGUCGAACGGGAAUCUUCGGAUUCUAGUGGCGGACGGGUGAGUAACGCGUAAGAAUCUAACUUCAGGACGGGGACAACAGUUGGAAACGACUGCUAAUACCCGAUGUGCCGCAAGGUGAAACCUAAUUGGCCUGGAGAAGAGCUUGCGUCUGAUUAGCUAGUUGGUGGGGUAAGGGCCUACCAAGGCGACGAUCAGUAGCUGGUCUGAGAGGAUGAGCAGCCACACUGGGACUGAGACACGGCCCAGACUCCUACGGGAGGCAGCAGUGGGGAAUUUUCCGCAAUGGGCGAAAGCCUGACGGAGCAACGCCGCGUGAGGGAGGAAGGUCUUUGGAUUGUAAACCUCUUUUCUCAAGGAAGAAGUUCUGACGGUACUUGAGGAAUCAGCCUCGGCUAACUCCGUGCCAGCAGCCGCGGUAAUACGGGGGAGGCAAGCGUUAUCCGGAAUUAUUGGGCGUAAAGCGUCCGCAGGUGGUCAGCCAAGUCUGCUGUCAAAUCAGGUUGCUUAACGACCUAAAGGCGGUGGAAACUGGCAGACUAGAGAGCAGUAGGGGUAGCAGGAAUUCCCAGUGUAGCGGUGAAAUGCGUAGAGAUUGGGAAGAACAUCGGUGGCGAAAGCGUGCUACUGGGCUGUAUCUGACACUCAGGGACGAAAGCUAGGGGAGCGAAAGGGAUUAGAUACCCCUGUAGUCCUAGCCGUAAACGAUGGAUACUAGGCGUGGCUUGUAUCGACCCGAGCCGUGCCGAAGCUAACGCGUUAAGUAUCCCCGCCUGGGGGAGUACGCACGCAAGUGUGAAACUCAAAAGGAAUUUGACGGGGGGCCCGCACAAAGCGGGGGGAGUAUGUGGUUUAAUUCGAUGCAACCGCGAAAGAAACCUUACCCAAGACUUGACAUGUCCCCGAACCCUGGUGAAAGCUGGGGGGUGCCUUCGGGGAAGCGCGAAACCACAGGGUGGGGCAUGGCUUGUCG
rnacentral:rRNA from 1 species